rnacentral:lncRNA from 1 species
UCGCUCGCGCCGCGCGUUAUUCUUGCAGCAGAUGAACGUAACACGAGGUGAUCUGUCAAGGGUUGCGGACUCUAAGAAUAUUUGUUGAUUUAAAUGAGGCCAGAUUGGGCCGAGUCACGUUCAAAAUGACGAGAGGCUGGCUUGGGCUGAGCCAUAUUCAAAGUUUGUAUAAGGUUGGUUGAGCCGAAUUACAAUCGAUCAAAACCUGUAGACGCUGUCUUUGGACGCCUUUAAGUAAAUUUGUUACGUAUUUCUAACAGCUUAAAAUUCCCGUAUGCUACGCAGAUACUAGGAGGGCCUUAAAGGGGCAAGCAUUCUGCCCUAUGAUAGGGGGAUAAGUUGGGCCAAGUUAUAUUCAAAGUAACGUGAAGUUUAACAUUCGAAGUGGUGUGAAGGCCAUAUUGGAGCUUUGUUUGCUGAAAAGUGAGUAACGCUUCAAUCGCUACUAAGAAUAGUUGGUUGUUAUCCAGAAGGAUUGUCAUAAAAAUUCAACGAUGG